AUUGAACGCUGGCGGCAUGCCUUACACAUGCAAGUCGAACGGCAGCGGACCUUCGGGUGCCGGCGAGUGGCGAACGGGUGAGUAAUAUAUCGGAACGUACCUUUCAGUGGGGGAUAACGUAGCGAAAGUUACGCUAAUACCGCAUAUUCUGUGAGCAGGAAAGCAGGGGAUCGCAAGACCUUGCGCUGAUUGAGCGGCCGAUAUCAGAUUAGCUAGUUGGUGAGGUAAAGGCUCACCAAGGCGACUAUCUGUAGCGGGUCUGAGAGGAUGAUCCGCCACACUGGAACUGAGACACGGUCCAGACUCCUACGGGAGGCAGCAGUGGGGAAUUUUGGACAAUGGGCGCAAGCCUGAUCCAGCCAUGCCGCGUGAGUGAAGAAGGCCUCGGUUGUAAG
rnacentral:rRNA from 1 species